AUUAUACUCCCUCCGUCCCAAAAUAACUGUCUUAAGCUUAGUAUAAUUUUGUAUUAGAGCUAGUACAAAUCAAGACAGUUAUUUUGGGACGGAGGGAGUAAAAA
rnacentral:pre_miRNA from 1 species